UACGGGGGGGGCAAGCGUUGUUCGGAAUUACUGGGCGUAAAGGGCUCGUAGGCGGCCAACUCAGUCAGACGUGAAAUCCCCAGGCUCAACCUGGGAACUGCGUCUGAUACUGGAUGGCUUGAAUCCGGGAGAGGGAUGCAGAAUUCCAGGUGUAGCGGUGAAAUGCGUAGAUAUCUGGAGGAAUACCGGUGGCGAAGGCGGCAUCCUGGACCGGCAUUGACGCUGAGGAGCGAAAGCCAGGGGAGCAAACGGG
rnacentral:rRNA from 1 species